rnacentral:rRNA from 1 species
GAUAUGGCUCAGAACGAACGCUGGCGGCGCGUUUAAGCAUGCAAGUCGAGCGGCAAGGGCCUUCGGGCCCCUAGAGCGGCGGACGGGUGAGUAACACGUGGACAAUCUGCCCCCCGGCCCGGGAUAGCCCAGGGAAACCUGGAUUAAUACCGGAUGAGACGGGACCCGCGAUGGCGGGAUCCGGGAAAGGCGCUGCGGCGCCGCCGGGGGAUGAGUCUGCGUCCCAUUAGCUAGACGGCGGGGUAACGGCCCACCGUGGCGACGAUGGGUAGCCGGCCUGAGAGGGUGGACGGCCACAUUGGAACUGAGACACGGUCCAGACUCCUACGGGAGGCAGCAGCUAAGAAUCUUCCGCAAUGGGCGAAAGCCUGACGGAGCCGACGCCGCGUGAACGAAGAAGGCCGUGAGGUUGUAAAGUUCUUUUCGGGAGGGGGAACAACCGUGGCAGGGAAUGGCCGCGGGAUGACGUGAAUCCCGGAAUAAGCCCCGGCUAACUACGUGCCAGCCGCGGC